rnacentral:rRNA from 1 species
ACAGAGGGUGCGAGCGUUGUUCGGAAUUAUUGGGCGUAAAGCGCGUGUAGGCGGCUUAUCAAGUCGGGUGUGAAAGCCCUCAGCUUAACUGAGGAAGUGCGCCCGAAACUGGUGAGCUUGAGUGCCGGAGAGGAUGGCGGAAUACCCCAAGUAGAGGCGAAAUUCGUAGAUAUGGGGUGGAACACCGGUGGCGAAGGCGGCCAUCUGGACGGUAACUGACGCUGAUGCGCGAAAGCGUGGGGAGCAAACGGGA